UACGGAGGGUGCAAGCGUUGUCCGGAUUUAUUGGGUUUAAAGGGUGCGUAGGUGGCUAAUUAAGUCAGUGGUGAAAGACGGCAGCUCAACUGUCGCAGUGCCAUUGAUACUGGUUAGCUUGAGUACAGACGAGGUAAGCGGAAUUUAUGGUGUAGCGGUGAAAUGCAUAGAUACCAUAAAGAACACCGAUAGCGAAGGCAGCUUACCAGGGUGUAACUGACACUGAGGCACGAAAGCAUGGGGAUCAAACAGG
rnacentral:rRNA from 1 species